UCGAGGAUCUUCGGCAAUGGGCGCAAGCCUGACCGAGCGAUGCCGCGUGUGCGAUGAAGGCCUUCGGGUUGUAAAGCACUGUCGAGGGGGAGAAAGUCCCGCAAGGGAUUGAUCGACCCCUGGAGGAAGCACGGGCUAAGUUCGUGCCAGCAGCCGCGGUAAGACGAACCGUGCAAACGUUGUUCGGAUUCACUGGGCUUAAAGGGCGCGUAGGCGGGCCAGCAAGUCAGGGGUGAAAUCUUUCAGCUCAACUGGAAAAGUGCCUUUGAUACUGCUGGCCUCGAGGGAGGUAGGGGCGUGCGGAACUUCCGGUGGAGCGGUGAAAUGCGUAGAUAUCGGAAGGAACGCCGGUGGCGAAAGCGGCGUGCUGGACCUCAUCUGACGCUGAGGCGCGAAAGCCAGGGGAGCAAACGGGAUUAGAUACCCCCGUAGUCC
rnacentral:rRNA from 1 species